rnacentral:rRNA from 1 species
CGGAGUCUGCAACCCGACUCCGUGAAGCUGGAUUCGCUAGUAAUCGCGCAUCAGCCAUGGCGCGGUGAAUACGUUCCCGGGCCUUGUACACACCGCCCGUCAAGCCAUGGGAGCCGGGGGUGCUUGAAGUGCGUCGCCGCAAGGCGCGCCCUAGAGCAAAACCGGUGACUGGGGCUAAGUCGUAACAAGGUACC